rnacentral:rRNA from 1 species
GUGCCAGCAGCCGCGGUAAUACGAAGGGGGCUAGCGUUGCUCGGAUUUACUGGGCGUAAAGGGCGCGUAGGCGGACAGUUAAGUUGGGGGUGAAAGCCCGGGGCUCAACCUCGGAAUUGCCUUCAAUACUGGCUGUCUUGAGUGUGAGAGAGGUGUGUGGAACUCCGAGUGUAGAGGUGAAAUUCGUAGAUAUUCGGAAGAACACCAGUGGCGAAGGCGACACACUGGCUCACUACUGACGCUGAGGCGCGAAAGCGUGGGGAGCAAACAGGAUUAGAUACCCUUGUAGUCC